CUCCUGUUAUCACCGCACCUGAUCGCCUUUUAGCUGGAUCGUGCAGCUCGCCGUUGUUUGGCAGUUCAUUGGCCGGGUCUUCCCUCUCCCGUAUCGACCCUAGUUGUAGGGCGUGCGAGUGUUUUCCUCCUCUACCUGUUGCAGCGGGGAGCGAUCAGCUGAUUGAUCGAGUUGCACUUGUAAUUGUGCUGCUCAGUACAAGUGAUCCCCUUCCUCCCCUUUGAUGUUCAUUCAACUCCUGACGGGUUGACGUGUGUGUGGGCGGUUUCUGCCAGCACGUCCCCCCCCCCCCCCCCCCCCC